CACGUGGGUGAUCUGCCCUGCACUCUGGGAUAAGCCUGGGAAACUGGGUCUAAUACCGGAUAGGACUACGGGAUGCAUGUCUUGUGGUGGAAAGCUUUAUGCGGUGUGGGAUGGGCCCGCGGCCUAUCAGCUUGUUGGUGGGGUGAUGGCCUACCAAGGCUGCGACGGGUAGCCGGCCUGAGAGGGUGUCCGGCCACACUGGGACUGAGAUACGGCCCAG
rnacentral:rRNA from 1 species